ACGUGGGUCAAGACCUAGUUGAAUUAUGGGACCCGAAUACUCACUACUUCAACCUAGGAGGUAGGGUCAUGGAACUUUCUGAAAGUGAUGUUGCCCUGAUCACUGGCCUUAGCUUGAGGGGUAUUACCGUUGACCUGUCAAGUGGGAUGGCCAUUAAGGCAUUGUUCUUGUCAUUCUUCAAGCUCCCUGAAAACCGUGCAUCCAACAUAGAGCUAGAUGCGGUGCUUCGCCGGUUGAAAACUAUUGUGAGGUUGGAAGGCCAAGAGUACAUUCAGGAGGUUGUAAAGGUGGUCUUCCUCUUCAUCUUUGGCAGUGUAUUGUUUCACACUAAGCAGUUUCCGAGUGAGUUUCAUCUGGGCCAGUUACAUUGACGAAUGAUGAUUUGGAGCGCAUUGGAGAUUAUGCAUGGGGAGAUGCGUGCAUAACUAUCUUGACCCCUAGCGUACAUCUAAUGAUGCCUAAGCCCUUGAUAGAUUGUUGAAUUCUUGACCCCUAGGGCUGAGGAACUGCCCUUGCUAGAUGUUGUUGGUAGUAAUGUCCCAGUUAGUAAAAUUAAUGGAAUUAGUCUUGUAAGGACCAAUGUGAUAGGUCCCAAUCAAAGCUAGAGUUGAAAGAGUAUUCUGCUUAGGGUGAGAAUGAAACCCACAAGAUUUUUAACUAAUUACCACUAAACUAGUCCCUAAUUAUGGGAUUAUACAGAUUCCUAUGCCAUAGUCUAACAACCUAACCUCUUUAACAAAUUGACCUAUUCUUAUGCAACACACUAACAGAUUGACUCUCUUAACACACUGACCCACUCUUAUGCAACAAAAAGAACUGACUAAACAACUACCUCCUGAUGUAGAUCUUCCAACCAUACGCCGAAGGUUCAGGUUACGUGAUAUUUGUAUGGGCCAUGCGUCUAGUGCUCACAUGUUUUGUCGUUCUAAUUAAGUUGAGGAGCCCGUCGGCCCAAGCAAUGAUGAGGAGAGGCAUGGUGCGACUGAUGACCCUGCUGAAUUUGGUGAGCAUAGAGGGAAGAAGGGCUUCUGCAAAAGUUGCGUCGAGUCGUUGGAAUACCAAAUUCUUCAAAAGAAGGCCAAAGAGUAUGCAUCAAUGAAGCAGAAUGCAGUGCUUCGCACCGAGGUCAAUAGGUUGCAUGCAAUGCUGACCUACAAUGGCAUUGACCCCGAUGGAGUCCCUUUGAGCGAGAGAGUGUUAGCAUUAGCCUCCUGCUAUUGAAAGUUGAUCAUCACCGCACCGCUAUGCCCCCUGUUGGUUUAGCCAACAGCACCGAUGCAGCUCUCUCUCUUGAAUGGAUUACCAUUGAAGCGGCCUCCUGGUUAUGUGAUAUCGUUCAACCGUCUCCAUCUGGCCUAUCCAUUUUCAAACGUAGAUCAACCCAGGUAAGGAGAGAGCAGUUCCAAAGUAGCCUAGUUGUCUCCCAGUGUCAGGUGCCAACACAUCAUGGGCAAGUUGCAAACAUGUUUGCCAUUGCAGCUGAUCCGAAGAAAGUGCAGCAGGAGAAGUGAGGAGUCUGUCUGUAUGGAGUAAUGGCGAUAUGUGGUUGAGUGCACGGUGGCUGCGGCGCCUCUUUGAGACAUAUGCUUAGGUAUACAAUGAGGUGAUAGAUGCGUACGGAUUCUUGGUGGUUGCACGAUCGAUAAAUUUGGUGAAAGUGUGCCAUGUUGUCACGGGGGUAGUUCUACAACGGAAGAAACCCGUGCGGCGUCCUGGCCAAGGCAG